rnacentral:rRNA from 1 species
UACGAAGGGGGCUAGCGUUGUUCGGAUUUACUGGGCGUAAAGCGCACGUAGGCGGUUUGUUAAGUCAGGGGUGAAAUCCCAGAGCUCAACUCUGGAACUGCCUUUGAUACUGGCAAGCUAGAGUCCGGAAGAGGUAAGUGGAACUCCUAGUGUAGAGGUGGAAUUCGUAGAUAUUAGGAAGAACACCAGUGGCGAAGGCGGCUUACUGGUCCGGAACUGACGCUGAGGUGCGAAAGCGUGGGGGAGCAAACAGG